rnacentral:rRNA from 1 species
UACAGAGGUCUCGAGCGUUGUUCGGAUUCAUUGGGCGUAAAGGGUGCGUAGGUGGCGCCGUAAGUCGGGUGUGAAAUUUCGGAGCUUAACUCCGAAACUGCAUUCGAUACUGCGGUGCUUGAGGACUGGAGAGGAGACUAGGAAUUCAUGGUGUAGCAGUGAAAUGCGUAGAGAUCAUGAGGAAGACCAGUGGCGAAGGCGGGUCUCUGGACAGUUCCUGACGCUGAGGCACGAAGGCCAGGGGAGCAAACGGG